ACUGUAAAAAGUCAUUCUGCAGGCUUGUAGAUUUUAUGAAAUUGAAUAUGUAAACUUUAUUUAAUAAAAUUAAUUUCAUGUAGUUUGUUAUUUUUUUUGUGUUAAAAUUCUUUAAAAAUGACUGGAAUAAAAACAACUUAUUGUUUUUGUGAAGGAUUUAGCUAUUCUUAUUGUGUAUCUGCGCAUGUAGCGAAUACUGAAUAAAUCCAACGUAAUAUUAAUGAGCUGUUUUAAAUCAAAAACCAUUCCGGGUUGUAUUGCAGGUCGUGAGCGCUGAGCAGACGGAUUUAGGAAAUAUUUCUGUUAUUGUGCCAAAAUUCAAAGUUUUGAAAGCAUUUCAGUCGAGAAUGUAUGUUUUUUAAACAAGAAUCUGCAGUAGGUUCAUAAAGAUAUCGCCUAUUUAAACAUUUCCUUCGAGUUUUGUGGCGAUGGGAGCUCCAGAUAAUCAGCGGGAGCUCCGCGCGUAAAUAUACCGGACAACGUCGCCUCACCUCGGCCAGUGUCGCUGAAAAUCUCCGCUGGCUGUGACGUCAAUGUAGUGUUUAAACUGUGGAUAAAAUUCAUUUCGGGUAAAUUUAACGGGCAAUCUUUAGUCUUAUAAGUCUAUAAGCAGGGUUUCUUUGUAUAAUUUGUUUGUAAUUUGUAAAUAUUAAUUACAAUAAGGAUUAAUAUGAACUGGGUUUGGACGUAACUUCAGCUUUAGGACCCAGGAGAUCGCAUAUCUAGGAUGCAUUCGUCGAUUCGCAUGCUGCGAUUGGUGGUCCAGAUUCAACUCAUUUUGAGUGACAGAAAAACUGACCAAUCAUACUGUUCCUCUGAAUGGGUGGGUUCUCUUAUCACUAACUCUCAUAGAUAUGUAUCAUGUAUGUAUCUAUUAUGACAAAUUCUGCUCGCUCUCUCGCUUGGUUCGUAUUAUAAAAAUAAAUGUGACUUUACUGCGGUCUUUUUCGGUUUAUUUAGUUUUGUGUUAAUUAUAUCCACAAAGUAUUCGAAUAAAUUGGUAAUGUAAAACUAUUCUUCGCUGUAAAUUAAUUGUGUGCUCAAUUGCGACGCCCUGUGUUGAAUUUUCCCGCGAGUACAGUAUCAUUACUGAGGGGAAAUAUAACAUUAUUCAUUUAAUUCCACAAAAGGCCUGUAACGUACUGCAGCUUCCUGCAGGCAACGUGAAACAUUGCUGAGGGAGAACUUUAUUCACAACAAAAGGAUAAAGAUGAAGAGGCGGGACUUGAGCAGCUUGUGAUGGCUGUAAUUGUAAAGAAUGGAUCUUCUAGGAGUGGAAGCCCAAAGGAUGCUGGAAUUGUUAUUGAGGCCUUAAAGGUGUUCACAGGGCAUGCUUUAUCCUUGGAUCUAUGCAUUGAAUCUCCAGUAUCCCAGGCAUCUUUUCAGGUGUUUCAGAAACUUUUCUUGGAGCUGGAUUCUUCAAAGUUUAUAAACUGAUUACAGUACAGUAAGUCUAAACUGCUGUCUGAUGUUCUGGUUGUUAAUCAAUGUAAUAGAACACAAACAUGGAACAUUUCGUCGGGAAAUGUGGACGGUUUUCUUUAAAGACUGUAAAAUACUUUUUGAAGUUUACACUGUUACAAAUACAUCAUUAAAAUGAGAUGCUUUCCUGUUCUUUUGACUGCAAUAAAAUAAGAAUUGAUUCAUCUUUGUCUGUCAUUCUGAAAUCAGAUAUAAUACUCAUUACUAAUAAAAAUAUUAAUGGAUGAUGUUAAAUUAAAAUAGUAUAAUUGAAUAGAAUUUAUUGUAUAGUGCUAGGUCUUUGUCCUGU